rnacentral:lncRNA from 1 species
GAAAAAAGAGAGUAGAGAGAAAAGGAAAAGGGUGGGUGAGAAAAAUUCCAUCCGGAAAGGAUGGAUGAAAGUAAUCUCAUCCGAGAGAGGGUGGAAGAGAGUUAGAAAAAUAGAGAGAGAAAGAUAGUUCAAAUAAAAGGGUAUUUUAUUUGGGUUCCAUCACAUAGUUAUUGUGGUGAAGUAAUUUGAGUUUGUACUCAAAUUAAGAUAUCUUUGUAUUCUCUCAUAUUAUUCUAGUGAAUUAUUCGGAG